rnacentral:rRNA from 1 species
GAUGAACGCUGGCGGCGUGCUUAACACAUGCAAGUCGAACGGAAAGGCCCAAGCUUGCUUGGGUACUCGAGUGGCGAACGGGUGAGUAACACGUGGGUGAUCUGCCCUGCACUUCGGGAUAAGCCUGGGAAACUGGGUCUAAUACCGGAUAGGACCACAUUUUGGAUGGUGUGGUGGAAAGUUUUUCGGUGUGGGAUGAGCUCGCGGCCUAUCAGCUUGUUGGUGGGGUAAUGGCCUACCAAGGCGUCGACGGGUAGCCGGCCUGAGAGGGUGUACGGCCACAUUGGGACUGAGAUACGGCCCAGACUCCUACGGGAGGCAGCAGUGGGGAAUAUUGCACAAUGGGCGCAAGCCUGAUGCAGCGACGCCGCGUGGGGGAUGACGGCCUUCGGGUUGUAAACUCCUUUCGCUAGGGACGAAGCGCAAGUUACGGUACCUGGAGAAGAAGCACCGGCUAACUACGUG